GAUGAACGCUGGCGGUCUGCUUAACACAUGCAAGUCGAACGGAAGUAGCAAUACUUUAGUGGCGGACGGGUGAGUAACACGUAAGAAUCUGCCUCCAGGACGGGAAAAACAGUUGGAAACGACUGCUAAUUCCGGAUGAGCCGAAAGGUAAAAAGAAAUUCGCCUGGAGAUGAGCUUGCGGCUGAUUAGCUAGUUGGUAGGGUAAGAGCCUACCAAGGCGACGAUCAGUAGCUGGUCUGAGAGGAUGAGCAGCCACACUGGGACUGAGACACGGCCCAGACUCCUACGGGAGGCAGCAGUGGGGAAUUUUCCGCAAUGGGCGAAAGCCUGACGGAGCAAGACCGCGUGGGGGAGGAAGGUUCUUGGAUUGUCAACCCCUUUUCUUAGGGAAGAAGAUCUGACGGUACCUGAGGAAUCAGCAUCGGCUAACUCCGUGCCAGCCGCCGCCGUAAUAC
rnacentral:rRNA from 1 species